UGGGUUAUCGCCAAGCGGUAAGGCACCGGAUUCUGAUUCCGGCAUUCCGAGUUCGAAUCACUCGUACCCCAA
rnacentral:tRNA from 1 species